rnacentral:other from 1 species
AUUAACCCGGCAGUGAGUGAUUAGUGAACCAAUACUCACAAACAGGGGAGCGUCCUGUAGCUGGCGUUGUGCAAGCCCACCUUAAGUGGGAAGCCUGAACCAUCUCAUCCGUUCCCCACUUGAACUCAAGGGUUCAAAAUCGUCGUCUGUCGGGCCACUU